GUGUGUGCCAGCGCGAGCGUUUAAAAAGAAAAAAAAACUUGGCGUUGGAGAGGUCUCGCCUCCUAGAGGGUGCCGUGGAGACGAACAGUUUUGACCAAGCUCAAAGGAAGAGUCUGGACAGUUUGGGUUUAAACUGUACACGCACACAAGGCCCUGGAAUACAUGGUGGAACAGCUGGAAUUGUCACUAAGGGCAUUGAGCCUUUCGUUCAGCUCAUGUACCCAUAUGUGUGGUUUAACGUCAAAAAAAAGAAACUGAAGCUACAUCAGGGCAAGAAGACACAUAUUUCAGAAAGUGGGCAGAUCGGAACGCAGUAAAGAUAAUUCAGGAAGCUGUGUGCUAGCGAAAGUGAAGUUUUUUUUUUUUUCAAAGACAAGAUCAUAGAAAUACUCUAGAAGAAGGAGACGCGGUGGAAAGGUCGCGUCUCCCCAAUGCUGUAGUCGGCAGAGGUCAGAGGAACAGUCGGGAUAAGCACGGCCAAAUGGACGUGGGCAGGACGCGUUGUCAGAAGAUCAGACAGCAGAUGGACCUGCCGUGUUUUCCGAUGAACUCCUCGAGGUCACACAAGGAACAGAGGCCGUCCAAAGGCCAGGUUGCGAGAUGACCUCCACAGAUUCGAAGAGUUUUGACCACAAAUGGCACACGGCCGGCAGAGGUGACGGAAAUUGGGGAAGGCUUAUGUCCAACAUUUGGACUUCUCAAGGCUGAUUGUGUGCCAAAGCAAGAGGUUCUUCAAGAAAAUCAUAGGAAUCCUCAAGGAAGAAGAAACGCAGUUGAGAGGUCUCGUCUGCUCAGUGCUGACGUCGACAAAAACCGAUCAGAAAAACAGUCUUGAUCAGCAAGGCCAAAUGGACGUGGACACGUUGCCAGAUGGGACAGCAGAUGGACCAGCCUUGUCACGCGAUGGACUCCCCGAGGACACACGAGGAAUAGAGGCCGUCAGAAGACUUUUUGACAAGAAGACCUCGACAAAUACGGAAAAUAUAUUUCAUGAAUGGCACAAGACCAGCAGAGGUGGCAAAGAUAGGGAAGGCCUAUGCCCAACAAUUGACUUUUCGAGGCUGAGGAAGAUUGCUAUAUCUGUGUAUUUGGGUGUGUAUUUGUGUCUGUAUUUGUGCUUUUGCGUAUUUGUUAAUUUGUAUGUAUUUGUGUUUGUAUAUUUGUGCAUCUGUGUAUUUAAGUGUGUAUUUGUGCAUCUUUUGUAUUUAUGGAUCUGUAUAUCUGUGAAUUUGUGUGUGUACUCUUGGGUGUGUAUCUCUUCAUCUAUGUGUUUGUGAGUAUUUGUGGCUGUGCAUUUCUGCACACAUAGUUAUACAUAUGUAUUUAUCUGUAUAUGUAUAUAUACAUUGUUACGCCUUUCCUGCCUUACAUCCUUACCUAGGUCGCAUGGAGGAUGUGCACAAUCAACCCAUCGACUCAUUAUAUUAGAAUCUACUCUGAAAUAAUAGUUUUUGUUAACAGAGAGAUCAGACCACACUCUGGUAACAUCUCUUGAUAGCUGACAGUUGUUUAUUUUACUCGAAGAGAUUUGUCUGCUCAAAAUUUGGGUAAUGCAAAGAAUAUAAAUAUUCAAUUUCUAUCAAGAUAUAGUCUAAAUAAUAAGUAAGUGAAAUAUCCCUCAUAUAAUUUCUAAGUUCAUGAAACUCAAUUACAUCCUACACACAGAAGGGGUAUCACUGUUGAAUGAUCAUUCAACUUCAAUUCUCAAGCAUAUCUAUAUGAAUACAGUACUGGUUACGCCAACAAAGAAAACAAAUAAUGCAAUACCCAUGAUAAAUUUCCUUUUCCACAUUAAUUAGCCUUACGUUUCAUACCCAGAGAACAA